AGCAGCCGCGGUAAUUCCAGCUCCAAUAGCGUAUAUUAAAGUUGUUGCAGUUAAAAAGCUCGUAGUUGAAUUUCGGGAUCAAUUAAUCGGUCGUGCCUCUGGUACGUACUGGUUUUAUUGGUUCCUCCCCUCUGACGAAACACGAUGUCAUUAAUUUGGUGUCGUGGAGAAUCAGGACUGUUACCUUGAAAAAAUUAGAGUGUUUAUAGCAGGCUAACGCUUGAAUACAUUAGCAUGGAAUAAUGAAAUAGGACGUUCGACCCUAUUUUGUUGGUUUCUAGGAUCGACGUAAUGACUAAUAGGGAUAGUUGGGGGCAUUAGUAUUCAAUUGUCAGAGGUGAAAUUCUUGGAUUUAUUGAAGACUAACUACUGCGAAAGCAUUUGCCAAGGAUGUUUUCAUUAAUCAAGAACGAAAGUUAGGGGAUCGAAGACGAUCAGAUACCGUCGUAGUCUUAACCAUAAACUAUGCCGACUAGGGAUCGGAUGAUGUUAAUUUUUAAUGACUCAUUCGGCGCCUUAC
rnacentral:rRNA from 1 species